UGGGCUCAGAUUGAACGCUGGCGGCAGGCUUAACACAUGCAAGUCGAGCGGAAACGAUGGUAGCUUGCUACCAGGCGUCGAGCGGCGGACGGGUGAGUAACGCGUAGGAAUUUGCCUAGUAGUGGGGGAUAGCCCAGAGAAAUUUGGAUUAAUACCGCAUACACUCUACGGAGAAAAGCAGGGGAUCUUAGGACCUUGCGCUAUUAGAUAAGCCUGCGUGGGAUUAGCUAGUUGGUGAGGUAAAGGCUCACCAAGGCGACGAUCUCUAGCUGGUCUGAGAGGAUGAUCAGCCACACUGGAACUGAGACACGGUCCAGACUCCUACGGGAGGCAGCAGUGGGGAAUAUUGCACAAUGGACGAAAGUCUGAUGCAGCCAUACCGCGUGUGUGAAGAAGGCUUUCGGGUUGUAAAGCACUUUCAGUAGGGAGGAAGGCGUUGUAGUUAAUACCUGCAACGAUUGACGUUACCUACAGAAGAAGCACCGGCUAACUCCGUGCCAGCAGCCGCGGUAAUACGGAGGGUGCGAGCGUUAAUCGGAAUUACUGGGCGUAAAGCGCGCGUAGGCGGCCUGAUAAGUUGGAUGUGAAAGCCCUGGGCUCAACCUAGGAACUGCAUUCAAAACUGUCAGGCUAGAGUAUGGUAGAGGAUAGUGGAAUUUCCGGUGUAGCGGUGAAAUGCGUAGAGAUCGGAAGGAACAUCAGUGGCGAAGGCGGCUAUCUGGACCAAUACUGACGCUGAGGUGCGAAUUCGUGGGGAGCAAACAGGAUUAGAUCCCCUGGUAGUCCACGCCGUAAACGAUGUCAACUAGCCGUUGGGGGGCUUGUCCCCUUUAGUGGCGCAGCUAACGCGAUAAGUUGACCGCCUGGGGAGUACGGUCGCAAGAUUAAAACUCAAAUGAAUUGACGGGGGCCCGCACAAGCGGUGGAGCAGGUGGUUUAAUUCGACGCAACGCGAAGAACCUUACCAACUCUUGACAUCCUCAGAAAUCAGUAGAGAUACAGAUGUGCCUUCGGGAACUGAGAGACAGGUGCUGCAUGGCUGUCGUCAGCUCGUGUUGUGAAAUGUUGGGUUAAGUCCCGUAACGAGCGCAACCCUUAUCCUUAUUUGCCAGCGGGUUAUGCCGGGAACUCUAAGGAGACUGCCGGUGACAAACCGGAGGAAGGUGGGGACGACGUCAAGUCAUCAUGGCCCUUACGAGUUGGGCUACACACGUGCUACAAUGGCCGGUACAGAGGGCUGCAAUCUCGCGAGGGUGAGCUAAUCUGAGAAACCUGGUCGUAGUCCGGAUCGCAGUCUGCAGCUCGACUGCGUGAAGUCGGAAUCGCUAGUAAUCGUGAAUCAGAAUGUCACGGUGAAUACGUUCCCGGGCCUUGUACACACCGCCCGUCACACCAUGGGAGUGGAUUGCACCAGAAGUAGCUAGCUUAACCUUCGGGAGGGCGGUUACCACGGUGUGGUUCAUGACUGGGGUGAAGUCGGAACAAGGUAACCA
rnacentral:rRNA from 1 species